AGGCUCCCGCUCUUCCUCGAGCCUCCACGGCGAUCUCCGCCGCCCCUUUCGCCGGCCUACUUCGGCGGCGCUUAAGCUUGCACGCCUCACUCAGAUUGUCGGGGUCACUCUAUUUUUCUGAGCCUCGUCUCUCUCUAGCCGCCACCGGCUGCAGAUCUGGCCGCGCCGCUCCGAUGCUUCCGUUUCUCCCUUGGGAUUCCUGAAGCCAUUGCAUCACCUAUCACUGGUGGUCAUACCAAGUGCCUUGAGUGGAAUAGGGACAGCACUAGGGAGAACUUAGAAGUGAUGCGAACCCGAUUAUGAGACGGUAUGAAAUAGCUUGGGUGCGACGAAGAGUAACUUUCCUUACAUGUUCUCUUGCCACUCUUUAAUUUAUUGAUUCAAAUAUUUGGUUGCUUCUGCAUUUGGCUAUU